GACGGAGGGGGCUAGCGUUGUUCGGAAUUACUGGGCGUAAAGAGUGCGUAGGCGGUUUAGUAAGUUGGAAGUGAAAUCCCGAGGCUUAACCUCGGAACUGCUUUCAAAACUACUAAUCUAGAGUGUAGUAGGGGAUGAUGGAAUUCCUAGUGUAGAGGUGAAAUUCUUAGAUAUUAGGAGGAACACCGGUGGCGAAGGCGGUCAUCUGGGCUACAACUGACGCUGAUGCACGAAAGCGUGGGGAGCAAACAGG
rnacentral:rRNA from 1 species